GAGGAAGGCCUUUUAAUUGCAGCAGCAAAACACACACGGUUGGAUUGGGUUUUCAUUUGCUCACUAUUUCUUCACACAAGUAUGAGAUGGACUUCAGUGUGAGACACACAGAAGAAAAUACAGACUGUGUCCAGACACCCAAUCACAGUAUCACAGCAAGGAAUCUGAUAAAUGCUGCAAGUGUACCUUUGGUAGAGGAGCACACAAUGGUGUUGUGUCCACCACCUUCCCACCUAUCCACAAGCUCACCUUAGAACAAGCUGCUGAAUAUGAUGGAGGAAACAUGAAGUUAUAAUUUCAUUCUGAGAAACUCCUUGUACUGCAGUACAGUCAGGAGAAGACAAACUACACCAACCAGUUACCAUAUUCUGUGAUUUAAAAGUCGAGCAUCACAGACAUUAACUUUGUCAGCUCCUGUGAAAGGGUAAGUACAUGCUUUAGGUGAGAGUUUACAGUGCCAUAUAAGCUAAAUAAGUAGAGUAUCAGGUAGAUAGGUUGACAGGUAUGUAAGGUACCAGGUGGGAGACAAGAGGGCCAGGCAAGUGAUGGAGCUGCUGAGGGUAGGUUCAGGGUGUGUGGAAGGUCUGG